CUACGGGACGCACCAGUGGGGAAUAUUGCACAAUGGACGAAAGUCUGAUGCAGCAACGCCGCGUGGAGGAUGACACAUUUCGGUGCGUAAACUCCUUUUAUAUAGGAAGAUAAUGACGGUACUAUAUGAAUAAGCACCGGCUAACUCCGUGCCAGCAGCCGCGGUAAUACGGAGGGUGCAAGCGUUACUCGGAAUUACUGGGCGUAAAGAGCGUGUAGGCGGGUUUGUAAGUUGGAUGUGAAAUCCUAUGGCUCAACCAUAGAACUGCAUCCAAAACUGCUUACCUAGAAUAUGGGAGAGGUAGAUGGAAUUUCUGGUGUAGGGGUAAAAUCCGUAGAGAUCAGAAGGAAUACCGAUUGCGAAGGCGAUCUACUGGAACAUUAUUGACGCUGAGACGCGAAAGCGUGGGGAGCAAACAGGAUUAGAUACCCCAGUAGUC
rnacentral:rRNA from 1 species